UUUGUCUUGGCUCAGUGGUUAAGGCAUUGGACUACUGAUCAGAAGGUCAUGAGCUCAAAUCCCAGCCCCACUAAG